GCGAGCGCGACGUGAUCCUGACGCAACAGAAAUUUCUCUGUUGUCGUUUGUCCCAGGCCUGAUUCACGGUGUUAUUACGAGUGUGACGAAGUCGCGACGGUUGGUAACGAGCUUGGGAGCGUUCGCUCGUUAUGUAAAUAUCGUCGACUUUCGUGCUUGGUUUUUCACGGUGAACAAUUAGGACGAGAGUACGGUCAUUAAGUGACCAUCAUUUUCCCACCGAGUGCCAAAAUUUUAGAACACGCGACAUCUUGCUCCGUUAUCAUCAGUCAUCAUAUUAACCAAAAGCAAAAGAAGCUUAAAUUUCACACGGACCUCUUUAAGACGCAACGGCAUAGCGUCUUGGAUGAAAGUCAGGAGCUUCAUGCUGUAAGAUGGCGUCAGUCCCAUCACUUGCUUCAUAGUCAGCCCGUCGAAGUCCAUUAUCACAAUA